rnacentral:lncRNA from 1 species
UUUGGGGUCUGUAGCACACGCUCUUUGAACCUGGAGGGAAGGAGACCCGAUGGUCACAGGGGAAACAGGGUGCUGCUGGGUCAGGCAACUGCCCAGUCCAUACCAGCAUGUGCUGGCCUACUGUGCUGCCUUCCCUACUGUAGAUGACUCCAUUUCUCAGAUGAAGAAACUGAGGCCGUCGCAACAUUCACCCCCUGCUAUGGCCAUUCCCUUUCAAAAGCUUCCUCCCUAAACUAUCUGUGGUCCCACUUAUCCGCCCUGGUCAUGUCCAGCUCUUUCCCGCUUCUCCCCCUCCCUCACAGGGACCUCCAGAGCGAUGAACAAUUCCUCCCAUGUCACAAAUUUGCUGGCCUCUGCCCAAGACACUGCUCCUCACAGGGAUAUGUCUCCCCAUCAUUAGUCCAGGGUUAUACUGACAGCCCAUUCUAUAGUCAACCCUCAUCUGCACUUUACCUGGUCAGGGCCUGUCAGGUCCCCAGGAUGCCCCUCUUUGGGAGCUGCCGGUUUUCGGCCCACUUUAAGCUAAUGAACUGUUAUUUCAAGACCUUUUUCUCAGGCAGGAGUUAGUAUUAGCAUCCCUUACUAAAACCCAAAUGGGCAAAGGUACAUGGAAAUCAACCAAACUGGAAACCAGAUGGAGAGAUGGCUCAUUGUUAAGGAACACUUGUUCUUGCAGAGGAUCCGGGUUUGGUUCCAAGAACAACUUCACAACCACCUGUAACUCCAGUUCCAGAAGAUCAAAUGCCCUCUUCUGACCUCUUCUGGCACUGAGGACACAUACAUGCAUGCAGGCAAACAUUCAUCAAUAAGUAAAUAUAAUUUUAAAAAUAAAGAAAGAAUCCUGAGAGCUCAGUUUCCUGUCUAGUCCUCACUAUGCUUCCAGGCAUCUGGGGGAUGUCACCUACGUGAGGUGAGAAUGCCAUGGACCCCAGCAUGUGCUUCUGUCCCUCAGAUCUCCGCUCUAGCUCCUAACACCAGCCUGCUCACCUAUCAGGUCAGGCCUCCCUGCCCUCAACCCCUGUCCCAUGGCUGCUAAUACGCAUCCCUCCAAUGCAUAGCCCCUUCCUGUCACCAGCCACAGGGCCCUCAGGAGCAUGGUGAGGCACCUGACCUGGCCACUGAGUAAAACAGCUCUUCACUAACCUCAGGACCAGCCUGGCACUGGGCUGUCCUCGCUCUCUAUUAGGGUCAAGGGCCAGCAAGAGGACUUGGUAAAGUGGCUGCCCGUCCAUGCAGUGGAAGGAAAAGGAGACUCCUAAAGUUAUCCUCAGGUCUCUAUGCACACACCACAGUGUGCCCUCUCUGUCACACACACACACACAAGAACAUGACGAAGGCCAGCAGGAACAAGCUUCCUCCUUCUGUAGUCAUUGUUUUCUUAUUCUUUUCUUUCUUUUUCUCUCUUCCUCCUUUUCCUCUUCUCCCUCUUCUUUUUCUUCCUUCUUUCUCGUCGUCUUUUCUUCUCCUCCUCCUCCCUUCCCUCCACCCCCUCCUCUAUCUCGUGUUGGUGUUUGGAACAGGGUUCUACUGUACGCUACCACAUCUGUUUUCCAUGUUUGCAGUAAAUACCAAGUGCCCACCCAAUGUUGCCUAAAGAGGCAAUGCUGAAGAAAGUGUCAGACAGAUACGGACACCUUCCGAGCCUCAGGGCCACCAUCAACAUCAGCACAGUGGGCAGCUAGGUUUCCAGGCAAGUCCCAUUUCUACUGGACCGCUCCCCGGCUACAGGAGCCUGGUCCAGCACAGAAAAGCAGAGGCGUCUACACGGGCCCCACUCACUUGAGGAUCUCUCUGCUCUUGCCCAGCAAGGACUCCAGGUAGGAAUAGCCUAAGGCCCUGUAGAAGCAGUUUCCGUCUCCUUUGGUCUUCCGGAUCGAGGUGAAUCUUUUGCUGAGUUCCUAAGGAGAGAGGAGGACACAUGGACCUCAGCGGCAGUAGCAACCUUGGUGUGGGUCAGCCACUGGCCUGGCCCACAGUUGCCUCCCUAGUGUUCCCAGCCUCAUCCGUCCCACAGAUACACCAAUACACUGAGGUGUCAGACACGGAGGAUGUCAGCUUCUGGCACCAGCCAGCCUUCGGUUGGGGGAGGUGCCACAGAAUUAGACGAUAGUGACAAGAGUUUGAGGACAUGAGCUGGGGUGUCCUGGGUCAGAGACAUCCAUACUAGACUUUGACAGUCAGGGAAGGCUUCCUGGAGGAAGCUGGCAACUGAGUGGGGUGGGUGACAGGAAGGCUGCAGAACACUAAGCAACCUCGGCAGUCCUGUAAAGGCUUCUCAGUGGUGUGAGGAGUGCCGGACCACACGGAUUCAUAAAGAAGACUCAAGCAAGUGAACCCAGCUCUUAGAACAGUGCUUAGCUUUACACUGUAUGGUGUUCCCACAAAGAGAGGUUCUCUUUCUAAAGAGGCAAAUGCACAAUGUCAGAAAUGUUUCAGUUUGCAUAGGAACCUGGCCUGAACUCCAUAUCUCUCAAAAGCUGCCCUUUUUUUUUUUUUUUCUCCCGACCCCAGCCCUCUUUGCUUAGGUUCUUGGUCCCUCUAACCCUCUGCCCCACCUGGAUUUUCCUCUGGUAAAUCCUGUUUUCAGGAUGAUCCCGAAGAAUGGAUAGAAUGUCACAUUUUUCUGAUAUUAGGUUGAAAGAUGUUUCACUCUGAAAGAGAAAGAAGAAACACUGAGCUGGCUUCAAAGACACCAGCAGGGCUCACAGAGCUGAUGGCCUCCAAACAACCAAGCAUACAACCCGGAACAUGCCCUGUUCCCUCAAGGGAUGUGUGAGCAUGUGACCAGCCAGCAUCCUAGGGACCUGACUGAACGGCCCUGGUCCCAGGGCAGGGACAAUCAGGACUGACACCAUCUUUACGUGACCUGGUUAUAAAGAACCAACCUUAUAACUUGCUAACAUUCAUUUCAUAGUAUUUAGUACCUCAGACUUAAUAAAUCUCUAUGUUG